rnacentral:tRNA from 4 species
GCGAAAGUGGCGGAACUGGUAGACGCGCUGGAUUUAGGUUCCAGUGGGUAACCCCGUGAGGGUUCGAGUCCCUCCUUUCGCACCA